rnacentral:tRNA from 1 species
GAGAGAGGCCCGUUGCAACGAAGACUGCUAAUCUUCCCUACUUUGGUUAGACUCCAGAGCUCACUCG